AUCUAGGAUGUAAGACGAGUCCCAAAUAGGACGAAACACGUGUCCUUGAU
rfam:Schistosoma curassoni strain Dakar, Senegal genome assembly, scaffold: SCTD_scaffold0019864